rnacentral:lncRNA from 1 species
UGAUGAACUCUGAAGAAAUAAAAAGAAAGCCAUUUAUAUGCAAAUCUUAAAGUUUCAGAGGACUGGACUUGCAGCACCAAAUAUGGCUGUUAUAGGAGGGAUUUUGUGAUGUCACUGUCCUGUUGAAUAAUGUUAGAGCAGCAAGAAUACAUAUACAUAAUUUAAUCUGGAUGUUGUGUCAAAGAAAAAUUGCAUUGGACAGAGUUACACAGGCAAGGAAGACUUUAUUCAAGACUACGGCAAUACUGGAGAGAGACUAAACUCAAGUCCAUUGAAACAAAAGGCGAGAGGGCUUUCAGUGCUGGGGUGAGCUGGCAGAAUGGCACUGGAGGACGUUAUACGGAGGUUGGUGGGUGUGAUUAUACCAUCUGUGUUUGCAAUUGGCAUUUAUUGAAGUUAAACUCCUACCCUCCCGCAGAGACUGGGAGAUAGGGGCCCAAUUGCCUUCAAUAAUUACAUUUCGAAGGGAUGACUCCCAGCUUCUUGAGAAAGACAUUCCUGGGUUGCAAAACUGGCAAGAGCCCGGGAUAAUAUUUAUACACAUUUCAAAGCGGCACAGGAAGAAUAUACAAUUACAAGUUUUCUAAAGUCAAUGAUUUUAGAAGAAGGUCAAGGCGUAGAGUCAGGAGUAAGUCUGUCUAAAGCUGAGUCAAGCUAAUUGAGCAAGGCCAUCCUGAUCAACUGUUGGAUAUGCUAUAGGAGUUCUGGACCCCUUACGGGGACACAGGGGGCAAGGGUACAGGGGGCCAGGGAGCACGAUGAACAGUACUUUAGCUGGCAAAGCCCCCACCUCACUCUUCCACCAGAGCAGAAGAUUUCCAGUUCAUCUCUUUUGCAUAUAGGACUUCCAUGUAAGCUUUCUUUUAAGAAAAGUCUCCUUGCUAAAGAAAGUUUGUAACUAUAAAUUAUGGACAUUUUUUUAUUUGUCUAGUGGAUAGACUAAAGCUGAGAAGGAAUAAA